rnacentral:rRNA from 1 species
GACGAACGCUGGCGGCGUGCUUAACACAUGCAAGUCGAACGGAAAGGCCCUGCUUUUGUGGGGUGCUCGAGUGGCGAACGGGUGAGUAACACGUGAGUAACCUGCCCUUGACUUUGGGAUAACUUCAGGAAACUGGGGCUAAUACCGGAUAGGAGCUCCUGCUGCAUGGAGGGGGUUGGAAAGUUUCGGCGGUUGGGGAUGGACUCGCGGCUUAUCAGCUUGCUGGUGGGGUAGUGGCUUACCAAGGCUUUGACGGGUAGCCGGCCUGCGAGGGUGACCGGCCACAUUGGGACUGAGAUACGGCCCCGACUCCUACGGGAGGCAGCAGUGGGGAAUAUUGCACAAUGGGCGGAAGCCUGAUGCAGCAACGCCGCGUGCGGGAUGACGGCCUUCGGGUUGUAAACCGCUUUCGCCUGUGACGAAGCGUGAGUGACGGUAAUGGGUAAAGAAGCACCGGCUAACUACGUG